rnacentral:rRNA from 1 species
GUCGGGAAUCUUGGGCAAUGGGCGAAAGCCUGACCCAGCAACGCCGCGUGAGGGAUGAAGGCCCUCGGGUCGUAAACCUCUGUCGAGAGAGACGAAAGUACUUCGGACCAAUACUCCGGAGUCCUGACGGUACCUCUAAAGGAAGUGCCGGCUAACUCCGUGCCAGCAGCCGCGGUAAUACGGAGGGCACAAGCGUUGUUCGGAAUUAUUGGGCGUAAAGCGCGUGUAGGCGGCCUGGCAAGUCGGGUGUGAAAGCCCGGGGCUCAACCCCGGAACUGCACUCGAAACUGUCAGGCUAGAGCCUCGGAGAGGAGGGCGGAAUUCCCGGUGUAGAGGUGAAAUUCGUAGAUAUCGGGAGGAACACCAGUGGCGAAGGCGGCCCUCUGGACGAUGACUGACGCUGAGACGCGAAAGCGUGGGGAGCAAACAGG